UCAUCUAACUGAAGAAUUAAGAUUUUAUUAAUUAUGAAAAAAUAUGUGUUUUUCUUAGAACAUUUUUAAGCAAGAGCGGAAGGUGUUACAAUGAUCCACUGACAAAAUACGAAUUAAUACAGUUUCUUUUGUGAAAAUUCUUAAAAAAACAUAUAUCGGUUUACUGUGACAAAGAUUUUUUUAAGGGUUUAUAUAAAGCACAUAGCAUAUUUAAAUGCAUGUACUAUCAAAAAUUUUCAAAAAAUUAAACAAUUUAAAUUUGGUAAAUAAAAAUUUGGUUUAUUAAAUUAAUAUCAAUUCGAAAUAUAUCAAUAUUUUCUAAAGAAACUCUCAUUGAAGUGUGAUGUACGAUAUUCUACAAAUCGUGGAAACAAGUGAAAUUAAAACCACUGCGAAGAAAAGAAUUAUAGUGCACCCGUCUACGAUGUUCAGAAACUUUUGUGGACCAAUCAGAAUACCGUCCGUCGCAAUAACUAGUUUCUGUAGACAAAAUAUCUCUGAAAUAAGUGCCGUCGCUGUCCUUGGCCUCACGACGAGACAAACAACAAAUAUAUUUUGAAUUUUUGGCUCAAGUUUGUUUUGAAUUGAUCAGAAAUAAAGAAAAAGUUAAAAAAGGAAUAUUUUGAUACUUAAAAGCAUAAAUGUAUUUACGCUAGCGAAAUACAAACAAAAAAAGAAUAGUCGAUAAAUAUUUUGGUAACUUGACAAGUAGCUACGUUUAUGAAUGCAAAGUAUUUAUUAGUCAAACUCAAAAUAAUGGCUUUUCCAAGAGAACGUUGCUUUUAGAAGUUCUAUUAAUACCGAGAAAGCUACUGUGUUUUGUUUAUUUUUUUUUGUAUUAAAAAAAUUAACUGAACAAAAAAUAAACAUACAUAUAUAAAAACAAAAUAUAAAAAGAAAAAUAAAUAACAAGUAAACAUGAAAUUACUUGAAAGUUCACGGUUUGAAGCAAUCAAUAAUGCUCUGUCAAUUCAAACUGGUGACAGUACUAUAUUUGGCCGGAUAGAAAGCUAUUCGUGCAAAAUGGUAGCAGCAGAUAAGGCUUUGUAUAAGCGCUUCACAUCAGAAAUUCAUGGAAUCGGUCCGCAUGAUUUGCAGGCUUUAUCACCACCGCAAACUCUUGCUGAUUUAUCACCGACUUUUAAUAGGAAUAGCAGCCAAUCGGGCGACGAAGGGAUUAUUUUGUGUGACACAAUCUCCAGGAAGACAUUAUUUCAUUUGAUUGCAACUUUAAAUGCAGCCUUUGAGCCUGAUUAUGACUUCUCUGAUGCAAAGUCACAUGAAUUUAGCAAGGAGCCAUCCGUUCAUUGGGUUAUGAAUUCAGUGCACUCAAAUUUGUCUGCACUUGCUGGAGAUCAAUAUCAAUUACUUCGUCAAUCUCUAUGGUCAGCUAUUGAUGAUGAAAUCGUUAUAGCUGAGUGCGACAUUUACAGCUAUAAUCCAGAUUUAAGUUCAGAUCCGUUUGGAGAACCUGGUUGUUUGUGGUCCUUCAAUUAUUUCUUUUAUAAUAAGAAACUUAAACGAAUUGUAUUCUUCACAUGUCGUGCUGUCAAUCCGGUCAAUUUAGACAUCCGAGGUAACAUUAAUUCCCAGCAAGCUGAAAAUUGGUAGGAUUGUUGGAAACACCGUCAUAAAUUUAAUCUUAAAAGUCCUCAUCGAUCCGAGGCCUGGAAAAAAAUUUACUGGGGGUCAAAGGUCACAAAAACUGGUUUUUCACGAUUUUCAGCAAAACGUUCAUUGUACAGUAUAGACACUUCUGAUUUUUCUAUGGAAGAGGAUGGAUAUUAAAGAAAAUAUCUGAGGAAAAUAUCUAAAGAAAGCUAUAAUUUCGUUGGAGCCACCAAAACAAACCUUUUUUCAACAAUCUUCAAUACUCUUUGUUUUAUUAUAUUUUCUGCACAUUAAUUUAGGGUUUUGUUUCGAAUCACGAUGUAAAAACGAAAUAAAAAUGUAAAACAGACUUUUUGUGUUAAUCACUUACCUACAUAAAUUGUGUUAAAAGAAAAAAAUCUAUUUUAUUGUAAAAAAUACUUUUCACUUAUGCUACUCUUCAUUCUGAUACAAUAAACAUGUUUCAAAUCAGUAAAUUAUAA